rnacentral:rRNA from 1 species
UACAGAGGUCUCAAGCGUUGUUCGGAUUCAUUGGGCGUAAAGGGUGCGUAGGUGGCGCCGUAAGUCGGGUGUGAAAUUUCGGAGCUUAACUCCGAAACUGCAUUCGAUACUGCGGUGCUUGAGGACUGGAGAGGAGACUGGAAUUUACGGUGUAGCGGUGAAAUGCGCAGAUAUCUGGAGGAACACCGGUGGCGAAGGCGGCAUUCUGGACCGAUAUUGACGCUGAGGAGCGAAAGCCAGGGGAGCAAACGGG